AGAUCCAGAAUGAGAUAUUCUUUUGCUAGGUUGGUAAGAUAGCAAGUAAGUUAGAUAUAGCUCCCUGCAUAAGCUAUGACGAUUCAUGGCUAGUAGUAUUAGAUUAGAUGUGCGACCUCAAGCUUGGCCAGAAGUAGAUUCGGAAGUAGGUACUAGUCAUGGUUUACAAUCCACCACCAACACUUUCAUAUCGCAUGGGCAUAGGUAUCAAUGGGCGCCCCAUUUUGGCAUACUACUAUGCUUUGGGAAGAUCUUUUGAUUUUACUCGCUUUUUCUUUCUUUUUCGUUUUUCGUUCGCCCAAUGGACGCUCUUUUUGUCUGCAUCUACCAAUGGACGACCUAUUCUAAGAUUCUUUGGGAAGAUUUUUUCUGCCUUUAUUUUCGUGAACUUCAGUCACCCAAUGGACGAUCUUUUUGUGUGCAACAAAUAUAUAUCAUGCACGAGACUCUCGCAACAAUAAAUCCCCACCACAAAAUAGAUAUGCAAUGUUCAUCCCAUGUGGUGUCCUUCUUCAAUACUAUCACAGUGAAGCCCUCUAUCCUAUUAUACUUACCAUAAGCCCUCUUCUGCCACAACACCAAUGUCUGCUCUAUUUACCCACUGCAUUCCAAUCCGCCACCACCACUUAGGAGAACCCACGCGGGUUUUCAGCCACAACCAAUGGCAAAAAGAUCUCAUAAACAGUGUUGCCGGGGAAAAGGACUACAUAAGGCCACUGGCACCAACUUAUGGUGACGGUGGAACCAAUUUUGGCUCAUGUAGAAAAAUAACAGAAUCUAAAAUCACAGCUGUAGUUCCAGUAAAAGAACCAAACAGUCUCAAGUGGCGUAUAAAAAAUAGUCGAAUGGCUUCUUGGGAUACUAAUGGUGACACUGACGGUGUGGAACGAGUUUUAUAUUGAGUAAUGCGCCCUCCACGCAGGCGUUUCUGUGGCCCUUCUACCUAUCAUUUUUGGUUUUUCGCUCGGCAAAACUGACAUGGGCCAGUAUCACCACCCAACAACAGUCGAAUGGCUUCUUGGGAUACUAAUGGUGACACUGACGGUGUGGAACGAGUUUUAUAUUGAGUAAUGCGCCCUCCACGCAGGCGUUUCUGUGGCCCUUCUACCUAUCAUUUUUGGUUUUUCGCUCGGCAAAACUGACAUGGGCCAGUAUCACCACCCAACAACAGUCGAAUGGCUUCUUGGGAUACUAAUGGUGACACUGACGGUGUGGAACGAGUUUUAUAUUGAGUAAUGCGCCCUCCACGCAGGCGUUUCUGUGGCCCUUCUACCUAUCAUUUUUGGUUUUUCGCUCGGCAAAACUGACAUGGGCCAGUAUCACCACCCAACAACAGUCGAAUGGCUUCUUGGGAUACUAAUGGUGACACUGACGGUGUGGAACGAGUUUUAUAUUGAGUAAUGCGCCCUCCACGCAGGCGUUUCUGUGGCCCUUCUACCUAUCAUUUUUGGUUUUUCGCUCGGCAAAACUGACAUGGGCCAGUAUCACCACCCAACAACAGUCAACUAGCUGAUUCAGACCUAUAGGAAAGAGGCUAGGCCGUGUUAUGUUGU